rnacentral:lncRNA from 1 species
CAUAAAAUAAAAAUAAGAAUAUCUGUUAAGAUAUUAGUAGAUACACUACAACAAAAACGGUCUAUAACGACAUUUUUAAAUGUCGAUACAGGUCAAAAAAAGUGCUGCUGGCUAAAUUACCGACACUUUUAAAAAGUGUUGCUAUAUGAGGGAUCGCUAGGUAUAUAGUAACAGUUAAAGAGUGUCGGUAUAAUUUAAAAGAGCUUGUGCUACUAAUUUACUAACACUUAUUUAAGCAUUUAGCAACCGCCGGAACUCUAUCUCGUUGGCUGCGGUGGCGGAGGAUGAGGAGAGGGAAGGGCUCUUCGUCUAGAAUUUCAGUGAAUUGAAUGAGGGCAAAAAGGGAGAUGGUAAUUGAUUUUUCUUUUUUUUUUAUUUUUUGUUUGUAAUCGGGUCGAAUGGGCUGGGUGGGGUGGGUUGAGUAGAGUAAUCUUUUAUUUUUGGUUGGAUUAGGCUCUAUAUUUAGGCAUUAGUAGAUUUUUUUUAAAGUUUUGACAUAAAUUGGAUACUUAUACAAAAGUGUCCCAAAUAUGUGUCGUUAUAACCUAAUUCUAUUGUAGUGAUAUAUUUAUUAAUUAAUAAGAAAUAAUAACUUAAUUUUGUUCGUAACUUA